GAGACUGUACUUCUCAGGAUCAUUUCUGUAGUACGGUUUCCCGGUGGGGUCCCACCUUGCUCGCCAAAGCACCCGCGAUGACGAGUAGAAGCGUCGUCCCCUGAGCGUGAAGCUCGCUGGGGGCGUCGUCAGUUUUGGUGAUCGCCCGGCGUUGAGGACCGUCGGCUGGUCCCUUUGGGGAUCGGCCGCGGGGGCGACGCUCUCUGAGCGGA
rnacentral:snoRNA from 1 species